rnacentral:rRNA from 1 species
CCUACGGGAGGCUGCAGUGGGGAAUAUUGGUCAAUGGGCGCAAGCCUGACCCAGCCAAGCCGCGUGAAGGAAGAAGGCUUUCGGGUUGGAAACUUCUUUUCUCAGGGACGAAACAAGUGACGGUACCUGAGGACUAAGCCACGGCUAACUACGUGCCAGCAGCCGCGGGAAUACGUAGGUGGCAAGCGUUAUCCGGAUUUACUGGGUGUAAAGGUCGUGUAGGCGGGAAAGCAAGUCAGAUGUGAAAACCACGGGGUCAACCUGUGGCCUGCCUUUGAAACUGGUUGUCUUGAGUACUGGAGAGGCAGACGGAAUGCGUAGUGUAGCGGUGAAAUGCGUAGAUAUUAGGAGGAACACCAGUGGCGAAGGCGGUCUGCUGGACAGCAACUGACGCUGAGGCGCGAAAGCGUGGGGAGCAAACAGGAUUAGAUACCCUUGUAGUC